GACAGAGGUGCCAAGCGUUAGGCGGAAUCACUGGGCUUAAAGCGUGUGUAGGUGGAUGCCUAAGUGCCUUGUGAAAUCCCACGGCUCAACCGUGGAAUUGCUGGGCAUACUGGGUGUCUUGAGCCAUCCAGGGGUCGCUGGAACAAACGGUGGAGCGGUGAAAUGCGUAGAUAUCGUUUGGAACGCCGAUGGUGAAAACAGGUCGCUGGGGUUGUGCUGACGCUGAGACACGAAAGCCAGGGGAGCGAACGGG
rnacentral:rRNA from 1 species